rnacentral:rRNA from 1 species
GUCCACGCCCUAAACGAUGGCAACUGGGUGUUGGGGAAGCGAUUCCUUGGUACCGUAGCUAACGCGUGAAGUUGCCCGCCUGGGGAGUACGGCCGCAAGGUUAAAACUCAAAGGAAUUGACGGGGACCCGCACAAGCGGUGGAUGAUGUGGAUUAAUUCGAUGCAACGCGAACAACCUUACCUACCCUUGACAUGUCCGGAACCCUGCUGAGAGGUGGGGUGCCCGAAAGGGAAUCGGAACACAGGUGCUGCAUGGCUGUCGU